rnacentral:rRNA from 1 species
GGUCAAGUGAAGAAGCGCAUACGGUGGAUGCCUUGGCAGUCAGAGGCGAUGAAAGACGUGGUAGCCUGCGAUAAGCUUUGGGGAGUCGGCAAACAGACUGUGAUCCAGAGAUCUCUGAAUGGGGGAACCCACUCAGCAUAAGCUGAGUAUCUUGUACUGAAUACAUAGGUGCAAGAGGCGAACCAGGGGAACUGAAACAUCUAAGUACCCUGAGGAAAAGAAAUCAACCGAGAUUCCCUUAGUAGUGGCGAGCGAACGGGGACCAG